GCAGGGGUUGCCCAGCCUGGCCAACCACGAACAUUCAUGCUUCACAUGAUUAUAUAGCCGUGGGUUUUAGGCGCGAGGCUUAGGACCUCGUCUCGUAGGAGUUCGCGGGUUCAAAACCCAUGUUGAAUACCAGCACGGGGGAAUAUCCCGCCCCCUGCA
rnacentral:tRNA from 1 species